rnacentral:lncRNA from 1 species
AAAAAAAGAUCGAGAUGUGGUAUUGAUUGCCAAUGAGACAACUCUCCAAAAGCAUGAAAAGAGAUUAACUUCAUAAAGUUAUAAUAACUAACCCCUUUCAAGACAGACUUUGUCAUUUCUGCGGCUCAAGAGAUACCUGUGACGAAUAUCAUUAUAUCAUGACAUAUUAAGUGUUGGAUGUAGCUACAGAUAGACAGACAUUUUAUACUGGAAUAUUGCUGCAAAUUUUAUAUAAAAGGAAUCGCUUUCACAUUCUAUACUAUUCUGUACUAUAUUAAUACACACUUAAUCAUGUUUUUUAAAGUUCAAACUCUGAAUUGAGACAGCAC